rnacentral:rRNA from 1 species
CGAUAGCUAAUUCCCGCAUAAUAUUAAUUAUUGCAUGAUAAUUGAUUGAAAAGAUGCAAGCGCAUCACUAGUAGAUGGACCUGCGUUGUAUUAGCUAGUUGGUAAGGUAAGAGCUUACCAAGGCGACGAUACAUAGCCGACCUGAGAGGGUGAUCGGCCACACUGGGACUGAGACACGGACCAGACUCCUACGGGAGGCAGCAGUAGGGAAUCUUCGGCAAUGGACGAAAGUCUGACCGAGCAACGCCGCGUGAGUGAAGAAGGUUUUCGGAUCGUAAAGCUCUGUUGUAAGUCAAGAACGUGUGUGAGAGUGGAAAGUU